UACGGAGGGUGCAAGCGUUAUCCGGAUUUACUGGGUUUAAAGGGUGCGCAGGCGGAUAUGUAAGUCAGUGGUGAAAUCUCCGGGCUUAACCCGGAACUGCCGUUGAUACUAUAUAUCUUGAAUGCCGUGGAGGUAAGCGGAAUAUGUCAUGUAGCGGUGAAAUGCUUAGAUAUGACAUAGAACACCUAUUGCGAAGGCAGCUUACUACACGGAGAUUGACGCUCAUGCACGAAAGCGUGGGGAUCAAACAGGA
rnacentral:rRNA from 1 species